GCGCUGGAAACGGNGUCUANUACUGGAUAUGUGACGUGACCGCAUGGUCUGCGUUUGGAAAGAUUUUUCGGUUGGGGAUGGGCUCGCGGCCUAUCAGCUUGUUGGUGAGGUAAUGGCUCACCAAGGCGUCGACGGGUAGCCGGCCUGAGAGGGUGACCGGCCACACUGGGACUGAGACACGGCCCAGACUCCUACGGGAGGCAGCAGUGGGGAAUAUUGCACAAUGGGCGGAAGCCUGAUGCAGCAACGCCGCGUGAGGGAUGACGGCCUUCGGGUUGUAAACCUCUUUUAGCAGGGAAGAAGCGAAAGUGACGGUACCUGCAGAAAAAGCGCCGGCUAACUACGUGCCAGCAGCCGCGGUAAUACGUAGGGCGCAAGCGUUAUCCGGAAUUAUUGGGCGUAAAGAGCUCGUAGGCGGUUUGUCGCGUCUGCUGUGAAAUCCCGAGGCUCAACCUCGGGCCUGCAGUGGGUACGGGCAGACUAGAGUGCGGUAGGGGAGAUUGGAAUUCCUGGUGUAGCGGUGGAAUGCGCAGAUAUCAGGAGGAACACCGAUGGCGAAGGCAGAUCUCUGGGCCGUAACUGACGCUGNNNNNCGAAAGGGUGGGGAGCAAACAGGCUUAGAUACCCUGGUAGUCCACCCCGUAAACGUUGGGAACUAGUUGUGGGGUCCAUUCCACGGAUUCCGUGACGCAGCUAACGCAUUAAGUUCCCCGCCUGGGGAGUACGGCCGCAAGGCUAAAACUCAAAGGAAUUGACGNNNNNCCGCACAAGCGNCGNANCAUGCGGAUUAAUUCGAUGCAACGCGAAGAACCUUACCAAGGCUUGACAUAUACGAGAACGGGCCAGAAAUGGUCAACUCUUUGGACACUCGUAAACAGGUGGUGCAUGGNUUGUCGUCNGCUCGUGUCGUGANANGUUGGGUUAAGUCCCGCAACGAGCGCAACCCU
rnacentral:rRNA from 1 species